GAGUGGUCAUCCAAACUUGGACAAAUCCAAUUGUGUUGAUUUCCCAUCCAAACCUUUGUCAAGGUUUGAUUUGACACCUGAAUUGAAUUGAUUUGAUUAAAUGGAAGUAACCUCUUGAAUAUUUAUAAGUUGGUGAAGUGAACUGUAUAUCUUAAGGUAUUAGGACCAAACUCUUGUUAAUUUUUUGCUUAAAAUUUAGCAAUCUUUAAAUGAUAGUGAUCAACUGAUGAAUUAUUGAAAUUGAGAGCCAUAGAAGAUGCCUUGAAGACUUUAAACAUAUUAGACUUAUUAUGAUAGAGAAGUAAAUUUAAUUCCAUAGUUCACAUCAGUAAGCAUGUGUUGUUGGGUUACCAUAUAGUGGGAUUUUAGCUUGAAGUACAUGUAUUAGGUGAUAGCAACUACGAAGCAUUUACCAAGUUACAGCUGUUACCUGUCUCCACAAUGAGAAGGUUUUUAAGUACAUACAUUUGUUAGAAUGUGAUUUUUUUUUAUAUUGGAAGUUAUCUGUAAGCAUUGCUGAUUUUGAAACCAAAGACAGCUGAAAUCUUUGGAAUGUUGCUAAGAUCUCAUGAGCUGUAUGUCUAUUGUUUACCAUGUCAAGUAUUAAUGUACACUUGUAUUUCAUUGACUUUCAAAUAGAACAAACGAAGGAUGUGUAGUUCAUUUUUGUGGUUCACUUUUGUUGAAAUGCUAUGCACAAUCUGUAAAUGUUUUUGGUUGUCGAUUUUUCUAUGUACAAAAAUAUCAGGUACCUAUGUGUGUGUUGAAUAUAUAUCUCAAUUUACUUUUUAAAAGAUCUCCUUGUGAAAGUUCGAAAACAUUGAAUGUAUAUAUACAAAGAUGUGAGUGCGAGGACCAAUGUAUUUUCUCUCCAAUUUCCAUGUACAUGUAUUUGUAACAUUGUAUAUGUACGUCACAAAAAACACAGUUAUAGUGAAGUGCCAGGGACAAAGGAAUUUGAUUUGUCAUACACUAAUUUGUAUCUAAUCAGGUUUAUAUCACUUGCAAUUUUGGACAAAAUGAAUGAAACUGAGUUCGCUCUAAGCGUAAACUCAUUAGUUACAUGCAUGUUUGUUAUAUGAGUACAUGUAAUUGUGUUUUACUAGAAUUCUCUUUGUCUCUUUUCACCUCAGGUUCUUGUUGCUAGGUAGCAUCAUCCUUUAUCUUCAUCAAAAUUUUAUACUUUGUUUGUUGUCAGAGCUAUACGUUUAGGAUGGGAGGGGGGGCGGAAUGAUUAGUAUUUCUUUCCUGUUCACUUUGUGUACUUUCCUAGAUGGUACACACUGAACUACAAACACGAUUCAUUUACAAGUUUACAACAAUCCAAUCCACGAACAUCUAAUGUGAUCAUUCCUAUGCAUUUACUAAUAUUUUUAAUUAUUGUGUGUGCAUAUUGUAGCAGUUUGGAUCAUAAUCCUUUAAACAUUUAUCAUUGCUGAGCAAUUGUCGGUGAUCAAUUUACAAGUAUGUUGAUAUUAAUGUACACAAAAGGUGGCUGCUUUGAAUGAAGAAAAUAAAUAAAUUAAAUG
rnacentral:misc_RNA from 1 species